AUCUUUCGCAAUGGACGAAAGUCUGACGGAGCAACGCCGCGUGAGUGAUGAAGGCUUUCGGGUCGUAAAACUCUGUUGUUAGGGAAGAACAAGUGUUAGUUGAAUAAGCUGGCACCUUGAUGGUACCUAACCAGAAAGCCACUGCCAACUACGUGCCAGCAGCCGCGGUAAUACGUAGGCGGCAAGCGUUCUCCGGAAUUAUUGGGCGUAAAGCGCGCGCAGGUGGUUUCUUAAGUCUGGUGUGAAAGCCCACGGCUCAACCGUGGAGGGUCAUUGGAAACUGGGAGACUUGAGUGCAGAAGAGGAAAGUGGAAUUCCAUGUGUAGCGGUGAAAUGCGUAGAGAUAUGGAGGAACACCAGUGGCGAAGGCGACUUUCUGGUCUGUAACUGACACUGAGGCGCGAAAGCGUGGGGAGCAAACAG
rnacentral:rRNA from 1 species